AAGCAUGCUAUCCUAAGGACCGGGGCUUCUUCAUAGCUCUAGGUUCUCCAAGUGUAUGCAAGAGAAUAGGGUGGUCUUUGACUGCUCUGGCCCCCUCUGCCAUCAGCAGCCACUCAACUGUCCUACAGUA
ensembl:snoRNA SNORA44 small nucleolar RNA, H/ACA box 44